rnacentral:lncRNA from 1 species
UUUUACUGUUUUUGGUUAUUAUCUUGAAUAUUAUUAUAGAUAGAGAUAAACUGUAAGCAGCAAUAAUGUUCAGCAAAGUAAGAUCUACAAAUAAGUCAACACGACCAAAAUGGUCAGUUGACCACUUAAGGAGUUAUUGCCCUUUAUAGUCAAUUUUUAACCAUUUUUCGUAAAUCUUAGUAAUCUUUUAGAAAAAUCUUCUCCUCUGAAACUACUGUGCCAAAUUUAACCAAACUUGGCCAUAAUCAUCUUUGGGGUAUCUAGUUUAAAAAAUUGUGUCCGGUAACUCGGCC